rnacentral:rRNA from 1 species
GCAGUCUGCAACUCGACUGCGUGAAGGUGGAGUCGCUAGUAAUCGCGGAUCAGCAACGCCGCGGUGAAUGCGUUCCCGGGCCUUGUACACACCGCCCGUCAAGCCAUGAAAGUGGGCAGCACCCGAAGACGGUGGCCUAACCCUUGUGGGGGGAGCCGUCUAAGGUGAGGCUCGUGAUUGGGACUAAGUCGUAACAAGGUAAC